GGUUCAGGAUGGGCUCGCGGCCUAUCAGCUUGUUGGUGAGGUAAUGGCUCACCAAGGCGUCGACGGGUAGCCGGCCUGAGAGGGUGACCGGCCACACUGGGACUGAGACACGGCCCAGACUCCUACGGGAGGCAGCAGUGGGGAAUAUUGCACAAUGGGCGAAAGCCUGAUGCAGCAACGCCGCGUGAGGGAUGACGGCCUUCGGGUUGUAAACCUCUUUUAGCAAGGAAGAAGCGAAAGUGACGGUACUUGCAGAAAAAGCGCCGGCUAACUACGUGCCAGCAGCCGCGGUAAUACGUAGGGCGCAAGCGUUAUCCGGAAUUAUUGGGCGUAAAGAGCUCGUAGGCGGUUUGUCGCGUCUGCUGUGAAAACUGGAGGCUCAACCUCCAGCCUGCAGUGGGUACGGGCAGACUAGAGUGCGGUAGGGGAGAUUGGAAUUCCUGGUGUAGCGGUGGAAUGCGCAGAUAUCAGGAGGAACACCGAUGGCGAAGGCAGAUCUCUGGGCCGUAACUGACGCUGAGGAGCGAAAGGGUGGGGAGCAAACAGGCUUAGAUACCCUGGUAGUCCACCCCGUAAACGUUGGGAACUAGUUGUGGGGACCAUUCCACGGUUUCCGUGACGCAGC
rnacentral:rRNA from 1 species